UACGAAGGGUGCGAGCGUUGUUCGGACUUACUGGGCGUAAAGGGUUCGUAGGCGGGCGUCUAAGUCACGUGUGAAAUCCCCGAGCUUAACUCGGGACGUGCACGUGAAACUGGGUUUCUUGAGUAUCGGAGAGGGUCAUGGAAUUGCUGGUGUAGGAGUGACAUCCGUAGAGAUCAGCAGGAACACCGGAGGCGAAAGCGAUGACCUGGCCGGAUACUGACGCUGAGGAACGAAAGCGUGGGGAGCGAACAGG
rnacentral:rRNA from 1 species